rnacentral:lncRNA from 1 species
CAGGGCCUGCUUUAGAAGGCCCUAGAAGGUCCCUGAGACUCUUGGACCACAAACUGACAGCAGCAGGUGCCUGGGGUGGCCUCCCAGUGAGCCAGACCCACAAACCCACGGUGAGCCGGUCCCCAGACGCGUCCCAAUCCCUGUGUGCACCUUGCUGAGCUUGUCAAAGCUAGACUUGGGUCUUCACACCUACAGAGUUUUUUGAAUUCUGAAAAUCAAAUGGCUUUAGCAGUCAUGCUCUGUCGGCAGCCCGAGUGGCUCCUAACUGAAGGUGCUGCCCAUUCUUCACAAGACUUAGAGCUGGGGGACAAGCUCCCUCUCGGCUCUGACUUUCCCAGGGUAUUUACCGUCCCGGGGAUCCCAGGGAUGGUUCAAAGCGGCCUGCCCGGUUACUGCUGACCGAACACUUGCUCGCCAGGCUCUGAGCUUCCCAGUGCCCCAAGCUGCCCGCAGACCACAGUGUGACCCUUACUGCCCUCGUGUCUCUUCCUCACUGCCUGGGAGACACGUGGAGCUUGUCCCCAGCCUGCCCUCCAACCUUACUCUCCGUCCCAAACUGGGCUGUUACCCAAGAUCCCCUCGCCCCCCAUAAUUUUUCUAAGCCUGAAAAGCAGCAGAAGGGCUGCUCUGAGCCCGGAGCUGGGGCUGCAGUUGAGGCCACCAGAGAGCAGCGGCCUGGGCUCACCCGACCCAAACAGGAAUGUGGGCAGGAGCCCUGCAGGCAGAGCCUGGGGUUAGAGGAGGAAAACAGAACUGUUGUGAAGGCCUGGAGCUUCCCUCGAGCCCUCUCCUUUCUGAACUGGGGAUGAGCCAGGGUGUGGGCAGACCCGAAAGGGAAUGUGGGAUGCCCGUCCUCGUGGGAGUAAGGCCUCAGUGAAAUGUGGGUUUAAGGAAGAAGGAGAUGGCAGUUUCUUCUCUUUUUGGGCUGGAAAGCUGUAGGGUUCUAAGAAAAAUUUCUGGGACAGAGGAACGAAAAUGCUGGAGCAGAAUUCCAGAGCGGGACCUCUUGAUCCUGCGAGGCCAACCCAGCCCUACUGGCUCUGGCCAUACCCUCUUUUUCUUUUUUUCUUAAAGAUGGAGUCUCACCCUGUUGCCCAGGCUGGAGGGCAGUGGCGUGAUCUUGGCUCCCUGCAACCUCCGCCUCCCGGGUUCAGCAAUUCUCCUGCCUUAGCCUCCAAGUAGCUGAGAUUACAGGCUUGUGCCACCACACCUGGCUAAUUUUUGUAUCUUUAGUGGAGAUGGGGUUUCACCAUGUUGGCCAGACUGGUCUUUAACUCUUGCCCUCGAGUGAUCCACCCGCCUUGGCCUCCCAAAGUGUUAGGAUUACAGGCUUGAGCCACCAUGCCUGGCCUCAUACCCUCUUAAUUCUUAUCUUGCAUCUGGAAUACCUGUUGGACCAGGCCUGUUUCCAUCGCAGCCCCUUCUUACUGCCUUUGUUUUCUCUGUGUUCUCCCCCUUCCCUCCCCUCCUGAGCACCAUGGGAGGGUCAGGCCUCGAGCAGCCCUUGGAGGCAGCAGCCACAGACAGAGGUGGGCUGGUGGGCAGGUGCGGCUGAUAGACUGGGUGUCUUUUGUGGGCUUCUCCCCAGCCUGUGGCCUGGCCUAGUCAGGAGAGAUGGUCAGGGGAGCAGGAGGGAGCCCCUUACCCCAGUGCCUGUAGUUGUGUCCUUUCCCCACUCCCUGGCUUCUCCUCCUGUAGCAUCGUUCCUGUUGCCCUGGGUGGGCUCUUGCGAGCCACCUAUUUCUAGAGGUCCCCCCUCUGGGUUCCUUGUCCUGGGUGUGGGGCGAAUGUGCUGGACUCUGGGGUCACAGGGUUGAACCCCACUUGGAGCUGAGGAUGUUCUUGCCCCAGAAGGAAAAUCCCGCGUGUGUCUGCAUGGAGCAGCGUGGAGUGGUUUGCUUGGUGCCGCCUGGGUUCCGGGCACCCGGCCUGGGUGUGAGGCCUGGUCACACGGCUGAACGGCUCUCCCAGGAACCCCUGGGAGGGAUGGAUGUGACACUGUUGGUGUCCCUCCCAGCACACUGCCUGCCCCGGGCUGGGCACACUCCUCCCCUGUUGGCAGCCGGGGAUGACAGGCCGCCUGGAGAGCCCGUCCUGUGAUUUGGUUGGAAAGUCAUUAUUACUGCAGAGCAGUUUAGCUGUUGUUUUUACAGCGUUGGUAAGGUUAAAAGAAAUAAUGAUAAUAAUAUAAGAAAGACUCAGUCACAGUAACUGCCUGCAACAUGCUAUUUGCAUUUUUAAGGAAACACUUCUUUGAGACAGCCUGGGUGAAAGGUCACUAUUUGCAUAUAAAUGGAAAAGAAAGUGUGUGAUGCUGGAAGUUACAUCUGUAUUAUUUUCUCAGCAGUGAGCUGCUGUUGGAGAGAUUAGAGGACAUGGCUUGCAUUUGGCUUUUAUUGAAUAGAGAAAGUACCAGCGAGGCUGAUUUAGAAGCAAAAUAAUGAGAGAAAUGUGCAAAGCUAUAGAACUGCCAGCUCCCUGCCCCCACCUCUCCCUUCUCUCAUUUUCACCUAAACUCAGCAAAAGCUGGUCUGCCUUUGCGCCACUCAGCAAGUCUUCAUUUCACUUCUCUCUGGAUUCCAGAGAUUAAAAAAAA